CAGAGGGUAGUUUAAUUUAGAAUUCUAGCCUUGGGAGCUAGUGGUGGGAGUUAAAAUCUCCUCUCUCUG
rnacentral:tRNA from 1 species